UACGGGGGGGGCAAGCGUUGUUCGGAAUUACUGGGCGUAAAGGGCUCGUAGGCGGCCAACUAAGUCGGACGUGAAAUCCCUCGGCUUAACCGGGGAACUGCGUCCGAUACUGGAUGGCUUGAGUUCGGGAGAGGGAUGCGGAAUUCCAGGUGUAGCGGUGAAAUGCGUAGAUAUCAAGAGGAACACCUGAGGUGAAGACGGGUUGCUGGGCCGACACUGACGCUGAGUGCGCGAAAGCCAGGGGAGCAAACGGG
rnacentral:rRNA from 1 species